UUUGAUGGUAGUGUAUUGGACUACCAUGGCUAUCACGGGUAACGGAGAAUUAGGGUUCGAUUCCGGAGAGGGAGCCUGAGAAAUGGCUACCACAUCUAAGGAAGGCAGCAGGCGCGUAAAUUACCCAAUCCUGACUAAGGGAGGUAGUGACAAGAAAUAACUCACUUGAGAACUAAGUUCUUCGAGAUGGUAAUGAGAAUAAUUUAAAAGACUUAUCGAAAUCUAUUGGAGGGCAAGUCUGGUGCCAGCAGCCGCGGUAAUUCCAGCUCCAAUAGCGUAUAUUAAAGUUGUUGCAGUUAAAAAGCUCGUAGUUGAUGAUGUGGUGUGUGAGUGAAGACACAUGAAAAUGUGUAGCAUAAGCAUAUCAGGGUCUAGGGAAGUGAUUACCUCCUUCAUCGGUGUGUUGCAUGGAACUAGAGUUUUACUUUGAAAAAAUUAGAGUGUUCAAAGCAGGCUAUUGCUUGAAUACGUUAGCAUGGAAUAAUGGAAUAGGACUACAUACAGUAUAAUUGGUUGUUUGUAUGGAGUAAUGAUUAAUAGGGACAGUUGGGGGCAUUCGUAUUUAAUAGUCAGAGGUGAAAUUCUUGGAUUUAUUAAAGACGAACUUAUGCGAAAGCAUUUGCCAAGGAUGUUUUCAUUAAUCAAGAACGAAAGUUAGGGGAUCAAAGACGAUCAGAUACCGU
rnacentral:rRNA from 1 species